UUAUUGGAUUGCGUUAUCAAAGAUGAAUCGUAUUCUAAUAAAUGAUUCUUAAUGCAAUAGAGUCGAAUAUUUUAGCAAAUAGCUCGUUAUCCAACGGAUAUAAGUCGCAGUGUAACAGACAGGUUAGAUAUACGAUAGAAGAAAAUCGUAUUUUCGCGAAUAAAGUUGAACAGGGUCAUAUUUUAACAAAUAGGUUGUUAUCUAGUGAAGACCGGUUACGUUCUGAUGAAUAAGUCGCUGGUGAAUCGAAACAAGCUAUCUUCGGGGAAAAUAGACGGUCUUUUAACAGGAACAAGUCAGUCCACGGAACAAUUCUCUAUUCGCACGAAAUUUAGUUGCGAAAACAAAAUUGACCAACAUCGAGGAAUCACUGCUAAGGAAGAGCGGGGAAUAGAAGUUGAGCAUGCACGUGAAUAGGUCGACUAAUUGCGAUCUCGAGAAACUGAUUGUUAGAGAUAUGACAGAAUAUUUGGAUGAAGGAUAUGUGAUUCUAUUUCGUAUUAUAAAUCAUCAUAAAUAUACAUGAUUGAAUCCCAGAUAUUUUAAUUAACAAAACAAUGACCAAUUAUACCUCCAUACCUGAAUUUUGGAAAUAUUCCAUGUUAAUUUAAUGAUCUGAUGAACUAUAACAGGAGCUUUGGUUCAUUUUUAAAUCAUCGAAUAUUCGUGAGCCACGAUAGAAAGACUCUCCUCCUCCGCAUUAUGAUUAUACACCGUGGAGUUAAGUUGAUCGCGAGUUGACAUGUUACGCAUGAAUGACCAUCGAAAUCAUCGCGCUUGGGCACAAUUACGAUGCCAGAUAACAGAACUGUCGGUCAAUCAGAAUAGCCCAUUAAUUGUCGAUGCGCAAAAACGGAAAUCGGAUAAUUGGAUUUCUGCCGCGUAUCGGUUCGGCUAUACAUAUAUCAAUGCUCGAAUUAUGAGACGAUUAAUAAUCAUUCAACUAUCAUCAAUCAUCUUACCAUCUUAUGAAGGUGUUUGUUGAUUGUCAAUUGAAAAUUUUAGAACAGAGACAGGCCCGUUUUAUUUGAAAUGAAAUAAUGAUAUGAUUAUUUUAUAUAACGUAAGAAAAAUAAUUAUAUUUUGUGUGUCAGAUGAUGAUUUUUUUCUGUAUUAUCUUGUUAUUUGGUUCUUUAAUAUGUUAUAAUGUUUAUAGUAAUAUCAUGAUUAUGUGAAAACAUAAUCUAUUCCAAUAUUUCAA